rnacentral:rRNA from 1 species
UACGUAGGCAGCGAGCGUUGUUCGGAUUUACUGGGCGUAAAGGGCGCGUAGGCGGCUUAACAAGUCACUUGUGAAAUCUCCGGGCUUAACUCGGAACGGCCAAGUGAAACUGUCAAGCUAGAGUGCAGAAGGGGCAAUCGGAAUUCUUGGUGUAGCGGUGAAAUGCGUAGAUAUCAAGAGGAACACCUGAGGUGAAGACGGGUUGCUGGGCUGACACUGACGCUGAGGCGCGAAAGCCAGGGGAGCAAACGGG